rnacentral:pre_miRNA from 1 species
ACAACAUUCGGACCGUCGGUCUACCGAGCAAUAUCACCCGCUCGGUGGAAGAUCUUCCCUUCUUCGU